AUCAUUGUCGAUAUCUUAAAAGCAAACCCGCGAACUCGUGUUUAACAUGAACGGCGUCCCGUCGAGCUUGAGUAAUCUUCUUGGCGAGACGACGUGUCCGCCUGGUGCUUGCACCAGGCUGGCUAACGAAACCCGGCGCGGCAAGCGCCAAGGAAAACAAUACGGAAUCGUUGCGCCCCGUGACCCCCGUUCGCGGUGCGGUUGUGGGGAUGCGACGUAUCUUAUAAGUCUAAACGACUCUCGGCAACGGAUAUCUCGGCUCUCGCAUCGAUGAAGAACGUAGCGAAAUGCGAUACUUGGUGUGAAUUGCAGAAUCCCGUGAACCAUCGAAUCUUUGAACGCAAGUUGCGCCCGACGCCUUCGGGCUGAGGGCACGCCUGCCUGGGCGUCACGCAUCGCGUCGCCCCCUCCCAAUCCCUCGUGGAUCGGUGAUGGGACGGAAAAUGGCCUCCCGUUAGCUCGGUUGGCCCAAAAGGGAUCCCUCGAAGACGGAUGUCACAACCAGUGGUGGUUGAAAAUAUCAUUUUGCUGUUGUGCUUCACCCUGUCUCUUGUAGGGCAUCGUUUUAACACCAACGGCGUCUAGUGCGCCUUCGACCGCGACCCCAGGUCAGACGGGAU
rnacentral:rRNA from 1 species